GCCCCGCCCACCCAGUGUUCAGACUACCUGUUCAUGGUGUGCAGGUGAACAGUAGUCCGCACAUUGGUUAGGCUGGAGG
rnacentral:pre_miRNA from 1 species